rnacentral:lncRNA from 1 species
UCAUCUUUCAGAGGUAGUAAGUGCCUUUUCUUAUCCAUAUUUUGAGUUUCCUUGAAACUGGCUACCUCUGUUCUGAGACCAUCUAUAGACUUAGAUGUCUGAUCAUGAGCAGGAUGAAAUGUCUUUAGAUAAAGAACUGUAGCUUUGAGGCUUGACAUGACAUCAGAGUUUGUGAUUUUAUUCUCUGCCAUAGAUAAGAAUUCUUCAGCUUUAGUUG